UAGAGUUUGAUCCUGGCUCAGAGCGAACGUUAGCGGCGGGCCUAACACAUGCAAGUCGAGCGAGAAAGGGGCUUCGGCCCUGAGUAAAGCGGCGGACGGGUGAGUAAUACGUAGGUAACCUGCCCCCUAGUCUGGGACAACGGUCCGAAAGGACCGCUAAUACCGGAUUCGUUCCUUGGGACUCCGGUCCUGAGGAGGAAAGCUGCCUCGCAAGAGGUGGCGCUGAGGGAGGGGCCUACGUCGCAUCAGCUAGUUGGUGGGGUAAUGGCCUACCAAGGCGAAGACGCGUAGCUGGUCUGAGAGGAUGAUCAGCCACACUGGGACUGAGACACGGCCCAGACUCCUACGGGAGGCAGCAGUGGGGAAUAUUGGACAAUGGGGGCAACCCUGAUCCAGCCACGCCGCGUGAGUGAUGAAGGCCUUCGGGUCGUAAAGCUCUGUGGGGAGGGACGAACGUCCGGCAUGACCUGUCGGGGUGACGGUACCUCCUUAGCAAGCACCGGCUAACUUCGUGCCAGCAGCCGCGGUAA
rnacentral:rRNA from 1 species